rnacentral:lncRNA from 1 species
UUUGAAGACUUCAUGAAGUGCCUUCUAAGUGUCAAUGGUUCAUGCAAAAAGACAUCCUCAACAUUGGCAAUCUUUGGACAUUUUUAUUAUUGAAUUUGUAAUUUCUUUAUUGAUUAAAUGCUACUUGUUUUUAAAUUUUGUUGUCUUUAAUGGUAAUAUUAAUGAAGUAAUGACGCAUGUUUUGAUCCAAUUAUAUCACAUUAGCUCAUUUUUCUUCUCUUAUUUAAAAAAAACAAAAAAAUA